UUUUGUUGGACUCUGUAACAACUACAAUUGCAAGUUUCCAAAUACAUGCAAAGUAAAAUUGUUGGCGACAUGGCACAUGUAUUAAAGUCUUCUGUCACAGUUGACUCAGCAAGAAUGAAGACAUUGAUACCAUUUUGCAUUAUGGAAUACACAAGUUGGCAGUUCCUCGCCCACUGCCACCCAAAUACAGGUAUAAGAAAUCCUUAUCUGUACGUAACAGACGAUGGAGACGAAGUGAUUAUUAUGUGUGG
rnacentral:misc_RNA from 1 species